UUUAUAAAGCGCGGUACGCUAUUAAAUGAAGUAAUAAAUAAAAACUCCUGCGAAAUGAAAGUACGAGCUGUGCUUCUGGUGGUUCUCCUCGCCGUGUGGGCGACAUUCUCGGCGGCGCAGGUGUUCUCCUCCCGGCGCUCCAUGACAUGCGUCAACAACAAGUGUCAGUGCGUCGGUGACGGCUGCUGACCGCCAUCUUGUGGCGGGCGGCCAUCUUGUGGCGACCACACCAAAUGGCGGACGUGCUUAAUUUAAUCUCUUAAUGUAUUGGAAUACGAUUUGUUUUUA